UUAAUAUCCUUCUUGUCUUAGAAACAGCAAGCUCUUGUCUAAAGUGAUGAGCAUACACAAGAACUCUGAGAACAUGAAUGACCCUUUUAAUUUGUCUGCUGUGCUGAAUAUGUAUUAAAUGCUCAGGCUACAGGAAUGGAAAAAAUUCAGGAGAGUCUCCUCUUUGACAUAUAAAUCUGGCAGCAAAAUAAUUAAGGUCAUAUUCAAAUCCCAGUCCCAUAUCUCACCUGUGCUAAGCACAAGUGGGAAAACAUAUUCCAGUUUCCUGAUGGUUAACACUUUAAGUAAUAGAUGGGAGACUUCAUUCUGAUGUCUGACUCACUGCUUUAAUGCUGGGGGGAUCUGAAGGAAAAUAUCAAAAUUGUACACCUUAAAGGACAAGACUGAGAUGAGGUAAUUAUUGCCAUUGGUUGUGAUGAUAAGGCCCCACAGAUGCUGAAGAAUGGGCUUCAACAUGCAAACAGCUUGAUGAAACAGUUUAUUUCCCAGGUAUUGAAGACAUAUUUCAACCAAUUAGUGGCCCUACAACUUACCCUAAUGCAGAUGUGGUUUCAGCACUUGCUUUCCAUACAUACUACACCUCUUGUUUCACUGUGAUUGGUGCUGUAAUCAACUGUUGUCUUUGCGUUGCAGAAGCUGUUUGAUGCCUGUGAGAAAGAUAUGCAGCAGAGAACAACUGAAAUAUUUGGAGUUCUUGAAAUUCCAUAUUCAAAUGACGCUAUGACCAACAGCAAACAGGAGGUGAUGCAAGAGAUAAGGAAUCUCCUCAGAUAUUCCUAUAACCAAAACAACUCAAAGAUUUACCACAACGUUAUCUCUGUAAGUAAAGAUACAGCCCAGGCACAGGGGUGGUGGUUCAGUUUUCUGGCGUGUCUAUGCAGCUUGGUAUUUAAAAAAAUGAGAGGUCUCCCUUCUGCUUGGGGUUAUUUUUCCCCUGUGGUGAGGGUCUUGCAGCCCAUAUACUCCCAAAAUAUUCUCACAGGCAUGCACAGAAGUACAUGUAACCUUCCAAGGGAGAUACAAAGCUGCACCGGGAACAGUGGGGAACCGCAGGACAGGCAGGGCAGUGCCUGUACCAGAAGGGUACAGUCCUACUGGACCCAAGCAAGGUGCAAAAAGCAGGGCCAGUGGUGG
rnacentral:lncRNA from 1 species